CCUACGGGUGGCAGCAGUGAGGAAUAUUGGUCAAUGGACGAGAGUCUGAACCAGCCAAGUAGCGUGAAGGAUGACUGCCCUAUGGGUUGUAAACUUCUUUUAUAUGGGAAUAAAAGGUGCCACGUGUGGGAGUUUGUAGGUACCAUAUGAAUAAGGAUCGGCCAACUCCGUGCAAGCAGCAGCGGUAAUAAGGAGGAUCCGAGCGUUAUCCGGAUUUAUGGGGUUUAAAGGUAGCGUGGGUGGAUUGUUAAGUCAGUUGUGAAAGUUUGCGGCUAAACCGUAAAAUUGCAGUUGAAAAGGGCAGUCUUGAGUACAGUAGAGGUGGGCGGAAUUCGUGGUGUAGCGGUGAAAUGCUUAGAUAUCACGAAGAACUCCGAUUGCGAAGGCAGCUCACUGGACUGCAACUGACACUGAGGCUCGACAGUGUGGGUAUCAAACAGGAUUAGAUACCCUUGUAGUC
rnacentral:rRNA from 1 species